rnacentral:rRNA from 1 species
GACGAACGCUGGCGGCGUGCUUAACACAUGCAAGUCGAACGGAAAGGCCCUGCUUUUGUGGGGUGCUCGAGUGGCGAACGGGUGAGUAAUACGUGAGUAACCUGCCCUUGACUUUGGGAUAACUUCAGGAAACUGGGGCUAAUACCGGAUAGGAGCUCCUGCUGCAUGGUGGGGGUUGGAAAGUUUCGGCGGUUGGGGAUGGACUCGCGGCUUAUCAGCUUGUUGGUGGGGUAGUGGCUUACCAAGGCUUUGACGGGUAGCCGGCCUGAGAGGGUGACCGGCCACAUUGGGACUGAGAUACGGCCCAGACUCCUACGGGAGGCAGCAGUGGGGAAUAUUGUACAAUGGGCGGAAGCCUGAUGCAGCAACGCCGCGUGCGGGAUGACGGCCUUCGGGUUGUAAACCGCUUUCGCCUGUGACGAAGCGUGAGUGACGGUAAUGGGUAAAGAAGCACCGGCUAACUACGUG